CAGCAGCCACGGUAAUACAGAGGGUGCGAGCGUUAAUCGGAUUUACUGGGCGUAAAGCGUGCGUAGGCGGCUUCUUAAGUCGGAUGUGAAAUCCCUGAGCUUAACUUAGGAAUUGCAUUCGAUACUGGGAAGCUAGAGUAUGGGAGAGGAUGGUAGAAUUCCAGGUGUAGCGGUGAAAUGCGUAGAGAUCUGGAGGAAUACCGAUGGCGAAGGCAGCCAUCUGGCCUAAUACUGACGCUGAGGUACGAAAGCAUGGGGAGCAAACAGGAUUAGAGACCCCUGUAGUCCCUGUCUCUUAUAA
rnacentral:rRNA from 1 species